AUUGAACGCUGGCGGCAGGCCUAACACAUGCAAGUCGAGCGGAUGAAGGGAGCUUGCUCCUGGAUUCAGCGGCGGACGGGUGAGUAAUGCCUAGGAAUCUGCCUGGUAGUGGGGGAUAACGUCCGGAAACGGGCGCUAAUACCGCAUACGUCCUGAGGGAGAAAGUGGGGGAUCUUCGGACCUCACGCUAUCAGAUGAGCCUAGGUCGGAUUAGCUAGUUGGUGGGGUAAAGGCCUACCAAGGCGACGAUCCGUAACUGGUCUGAGAGGAUGAUCAGUCACCCUGGAACUGAGACACGGUCCAGACUCCUACGGGAGGCAGCAGUGGGGAAUAUUAGACAAUGGGCGAAAGCCUGAUCCAGCCAUGCCGCGUGUGUGAAGAAGGUCUUCGGAUUGUAAAGCACUUUAAGUUGGGAGGAAGGGCAGUAAGUUAAUACCUUGCUGUUUUGACGUUACCAACAGAAUAAGCACCGGCUAACUUCGUG
rnacentral:rRNA from 1 species